UACGUAGGGUGCAGGCGUUAAUCGGAAUUACUGGGCGUAAAGCGUGCGCAGGCGGUCUUUUAAGUCAGAUGUGAAAUCCCCGGGCUUAACCUGGGAACUGCGUUUGAAACUGGAAGGCUUGAGUGUGGCAGAGGGGGGUGGAAUUCCACGUGUAGCAGUGAAAUGCGUAGAGAUGUGGAGGAACACCGAUGGCGAAGGCAGCCCCCUGGGCCAAUACUGACGCUCAGGCACGAAAGCGUGGGGAGCAAACAGG
rnacentral:rRNA from 1 species